rnacentral:lncRNA from 1 species
CUGAGGAUGGCCGCAGGAGUGACUGGCGGGAAUGCAGCCCAGAAAGCUGCUGGCAGCGCCUGGAGCUACCGGCAGGGAUGGAGCCGUGUGUCGGCUCCUUGGGUGGCCGGUAGACGGCCCGGGUUGGCGGGAAGGGGACCGGAGUGGUUGGGGGAGCUGGGAGCGCAGAGCCUUUGGAAAUCCUUUGUCCCUAGCCCGCCCCAAGAAGUUCCUUCCCUCUUCCGGAUCCUACACCCGCAGACCUCGCCAGCCCUCCCUGAUAUCUGCGCUGUGCAGCUGUUUUGGGGACUGGGUGUGAAGCGCACCAGAAGAUACGAAGGGCUGGGAGCGCGCACCUGCCUAGGCGCGAAGAGACCAGAGUGGAGUAUGGAGGAGCCCGAGGACCUCAUGCGAUUCCGCCUACCCGCCCGGCGCCUCCCAGCGCCCAAAUCGGGGAUGGGUUGGGGACAGAGGGAGGCAGGCAGGGGCGACCGAGAUCGUUCCCCCUUUUUUUUCCUGCUUUUUCUUUGUUUCAAGCACAGCCCCUUUUAACUGGCUGGGCACUUCUUGCAGAGGGAUGUGUCUCCUUAAAAUGGCGACAGGAAAUCCCACCUGCGCGUCAGCCAAUUAGACUGUCGUUCAAGCGCGAAUUUGCAGGGAGGAAAUUUGAGCUUUUUAUUGACAGAGAUGGUUUAGUCUUCGUGUUCCAUCAAAACAGGAAAGGGAAGGUGAAUCAUAAUUCAGAAAUUAAUCUACCUGGAGUCGUUCAUGGGGGCAGACUGAGUAGUCACUGUGUGGUAGGGGCUGUAGCUUUUUAAUCCCCGGUGGAAAAGUGAGAUGACACCCAGAUUUUAAGUUUCUCAUUAUUGAUUAAAAUUCUCAUUCUCUUCGAUGGCA